rnacentral:rRNA from 1 species
GUGGGGAAUCUUCCGCAAUGGACGAAAGUCUGACGGAGCAACGCCGCGUGUACGAUGAAGGCCUUCGGGUUGUAAAGUACUGUCUUCAGGGACGAAUGGUAUCUAUGAAAAUAUGCAGGUAAAUGACGUACAGAGAGACGCAGGC